rnacentral:rRNA from 1 species
UCGAGAAUCUUCGGCAAUGAGCGCAAGCUUGACCGAGCGACGCCGCGUGCGGGAUGAAGGCCCUCGGGUUGUAAACCGCUGUCGUAGGGGAGGAAGUCUAUUGGGGUUCUCCCCAGUAGUUGACCUAUCCUAGGAGGAAGUACGGGCUAAGUUCGUGCCAGCAGCCGCGGUAAGACGAACCGUACGAACGUUAUUCGGAAUUACUGGGCUUAAAGGGUUUGUAGGCGGCCUUGUAAGUCAGGUGUGAAAUCCCUCGGCUCAACCGAGGAAUGGCGCUUGAUACUGCAAGGCUUGAGGGAGACAGGGGUAAGCGGAACUGAUGGUGGAGCGGUGAAAUGCGUUGAUAUCAUCAGGAACACCGGUGGCGAAAGCGGCUUACUGGGUCUCUUCUGACGCUGAGGAACGAAAGCUAGGGUAGCGAACGGG